AGGCAGCGUCCCUUCUCUAGCAGCCGGUCUUCUCUUCGGUGGCUUAGCAGGACUAGGUGCCUACCAGCAGUCCAAAGAUCCAAAGAAUGUGUGGCUUUCCCUCGUGGCGUCUGGAACCCUGUCUGCUGUUAUGGGAAUGAGAUUUUACAACUCCAGAAAAGCAAUGCCUGGGAUAAUUGCUGGUGCCAGUUUACUGAUGGUUGGACGGCUUGGGCUGCAAAUCAUGGAAAAGCCUCUUAAGCCAUAAGUCUGCAUCAAGUCACUUGAAGAUGCGUGAUUGAGAAGCCUGAAAAUGCAACUGCCUAAAUGUGCUACACAAAAGUGGAAAAGGCACUGCUCUCUGUGCAUUGUGUUUUUCAUAUGCUAACGCACGUGGGUUGUGUUUUUAAAGGACCGACGUUAAGAACCCUUGUUAUGUCUUCCAAAAUGGUAUUUGUCUUAAGAUUUUCUGCACUGUGAAGCAAGAAAAUACAAGCAUAGUGUUAGUUUAGCUUCUGGUCCUGCCGCUUACUGUAGGCGAAGACCUCUUGGCACUUGCAUACAGACAGUUGCAGGAUUGAAGCUUAAAUGUACAUCUGGACUUGUCAUUCUAAAAUCAUCUAUACCUCUUAAAACAAGGGGAGAGGAGUUGCCAAUUUAUCACUAGUAAUUAAUAUAACAACAUGCUUAUUACGUUAC